rnacentral:rRNA from 1 species
CAAUAGCGUAUAUUAAAGUUGUUGCAGUUAAAAAGCUCGUAGUUGGAUUUCUGGGAGGGUGCCAAUGUCCGUCAACGUGCGUGUGCAGCGGCGCCCUUCCAUCCUUCUGUUAACGCCUCUGGGCAUUUAUUUGCUGGUGGCGGGCUCAGAUAUUUUACCUUGAGAAAAUUAGAGUGUUUCAGGCAGGCUAGGCCGGAAUACAUUAGCAUGGAAUAAUAGAAUAGGACUAUGGUCUCUUUGUUGGUUUGAGGGACUAUGGUAAUGAUUAAUAGGGAUAGUUGGGGGCGAUUCGUAUUUAACUUAGUCAGAGGUGGAAAUUACUUUGGAUUUGUUUAAAGUAACGGACGUACUGCGAAAGACAUUUGUCCAA